GACAGAGGCCUCAAGCGUUAGGCGGAAUUACUGGGCGUAAAGGGUGCGCAGGCGGCGGUUCGCGUGGAUAGAUGAAAUCUCCUGGCUUACCUGGGAGGAUGGUAUCCAGACGGGGAUCGCUUGAGGGUCGGAGAGGGGCGUGGAAUUCCGGGUGGAGCGGUGAAAUGCGUAGAGAUCCGGAGGAACACCGACGGCGUAGGCAGCGCCCUGGACGACACCUGACGCUGAGGCACGGAAA
rnacentral:rRNA from 1 species